GCUCAAGAGGAGGAGGGUUAUGGCUGCGAUCAGACAGCGGUUCAGCGUCACUCCUUCCCACGGCGUCUCGAGCUGCGUCAGACUCUGGACGGAGAGCGCGUGGCGUAACGACGUCGCUGGACAGGUGAUAAAACACAGGCUCGUACUGGCGCUGGAGACCCGGUGUUCCCGUGCGAUCAUCUUUGGGACCUGCUGGACGAUUGGAGCUUCCUGCUGGACAGAAGACUCCAUUCAGACCGCAGUGAGGAUCACAGACGUCACCUUUGACCCCUGUAACAGCGCGGCUUACCUGCACUGAGGUGAGCGGGAGUCCUGAGACGGAGAGGACGGCGGUGUGAGAGCGCUGGAGCAUGUGGUUUUGGAAGAAACACAGCAGCUCAAACAUCAACUGAAAUGUCUGCUAUUCCUCUGAUAUCAAGAGUUGCAUCAUCACGGCAUGAAGUCUUCAAGAACAACGAAUGUUCAGCUGUUACUCAACAUUUCACAGAUACUUCUCAUCUGGCCUGCACUUCUCCAUGCUCCUGAUACUCGAACACACGUCCCGCUUUAUUCACUAUUCCUGGUAAAGCACACGAGACCGAGCCGCUCCGGACACUUUCUGGACACACACAAAGCAAACAUGACAUUUGAGUGAUAUAAUAACCUUUCUCAUCAUUCAACACUUCAGCUGGACUCAGAAAUGCAUGGCUUUGCUUUGCUUUUUUUUUUUCUACUCCGCUUUUUAGCAGAUUGUUAGAACCACAAUACUAUCAGUCUUCAUUUUUAACACUAGAUCUAUUGUUUUAUCCUCUACGACCAAACCACCGUCUUGUUUUUGAAUCAUUUUGCUGUGCAUUAAAUCACAAUUGCUUUGAUACUUUGGUGUCUAACACAAUAAGUGUGACUGAAGCAUCCGAAUAUGUUUUGGCCCUCUGUAGCCUGGUCAGAAAUUGACAUCACUGAUAAUUUGCAGGUUCAUUAUAGAUCCACUGCUUCAUGUGGAACAAACACCAUUCUGUGCUUUAAAGAUGCACAUGCAUGCUUUAUUGAACAAGACGAGUGAUUUAUCUUCAGUGUCCGAGUGCUACCUUACCUUUACUAAUGGAUUACACUAAUGGAAAAUAAUUAGCUGCAUUUCUCACACUCUGAACUUUUAUUACACUUCAGCGUGUUGUUUAGAAGAAG